UUGCUACUCCCUUCGUCCGGAAAAACUUGUCCCAAGCUUGCUUUUCAAAUGGAUGUAUCUAGCACUAACUCUAGAUACAUCCAUUUGAGGGACAAGCUUUUUCGGACGGAGUGAGUAUUUG
rfam:Triticum aestivum genome assembly, contig: Triticum_aestivum_CS42_TGACv1_scaffold_062003_1DL